rnacentral:lncRNA from 1 species
AAAUUAAGCCUUGUUUUACAUUACUGAAAAUAUCAUCUCUGCUACAAACUAGCAGUCGAUCCUGAUUAUUCACUGAUCCACGUGCAGUAUGUAACCGUCUUUUUACCACUUUCAGCUUUGUUUAUUGUGUCCACUUUGGUUUCCAUGGCAACAGCGCCCUCUUAUUCACUGUUACGGUCACCGAGUAACUGCGGACACCGGGUGUAAACAUCGUGGAAGGGAAUUGAAUGGAGGUGGUCCGUCACCCCCUUUCUUUCUGCUUUUACUGGCAUCUGUACACCGGUCCAGUGAACACAGAUCACUUUUCUCUCUACUACUGCAAAGAGAAAUUUGAGGGGGGAAAAGAAACGUGAGGGAAACAUGCCAUUUUUGGGAAGGAAAAUGUUGAAUUUUUUUUUUUUUUUUUCCCCCCCAACCAAUUUCGUAACUGAUCUUUUCGUAAUCCGAGAGUAAACGUGUGUGUGUUUGUGUGUGUGUUUUACAGCAGUGAGAAGACGGGUUUGUUGGGUCGAUGCCUCCUGCUGCUCUGCACUCAUUCACUCACUGUGCUGCUAUAAUGAACGCAGAGGAAACUGCAAAUGACCCAAAAUACAGUAACUGCUGCUGAAGACAGACAGUAGUAGUGAAACGAACGCAGUAAGGAUCAAGAUAGGAAGGAAUGGGGAGUUCCUGGAGCUUCACCCACUAACGGAGCUGCAGCCGCAGGACUCGAACUCUCGCUCUGUGGACGCGCAGCUGUGGGUGGUGGAGCGGAACCCUGGACUCGAGGAGCCGCGUGAUCUGAUCCUGUAACCCCCCUCAGGAGUGUCAUGGGGAGCGUGAGCAGCAGGUGGAAGAGGGUCGCGCCCGCAUCUCCAGCCCAGGAUCCUCCUGCGCUCUGCGGGUCCUUCGGUGUCCAGAGCGUCUCCGGCCACAGCCGUUCGCGAUCCGCGGGGGGACUCGACAGGCACAGCGAAGGACUCGAUUCCCAGUCAUCAGCCGAUGGAGAGGAGGACUUGAGCGCCGAGCUGGAUCGAAUACUGGCCGAGUACCAAGUACUGGAGUCGAGCGACAGCGCGCAGAGGAGAGCAGCGCUCCCACGUGACGGGUUUGGAUCAUCUUCUGGUCGUGAUGACGGAAGGGACUUGAAAUGGACUCCUCUCUCACAGAGGUCAGAAGUGACCCAAAAACCGGCGUCCUCCGGAGACUCGGAGUCUGGAAGGGUCCGAGAGGAGGAGGACGACGAGGGUGAAGAGGAUGAUGAAGAGGAGGACUGCAGCUCCGGCACACGGCGGCUCUCCAAACGCGCGCCUCAUCGUGUCCCUGAGCCUUGUGCAAACGAUAUGAAGGGUUUGCAGGACCUCGCGUGCACCAGGAAAACAGACUCGGUCCCCGGAAGCUGUGGGGAUUCUUUAGUCACCAUGCCCGUGAUCCAGUAUGACAAAUCUGAAGAGGACCUCAUGGAGACCAUUGAGAGGGAAUUCAGUUGACUGUGCUCAGAGGAAGUACCUGCUUUUCAGUGUAGAACCACUGUCCGCACCACAGUAGGCUCUAAAUCUGCUGAGUCAGAGAAAGAAGCCUCCAGUGAAAUUCAGGAUGUAAACACAAAUGUUGUGGGACAUGGAGGUGAAUCAGGAGCACCUCUGUCUUGAGAUUUUGUCCUGCCGUAGGCAAAUGAACUGUUCUGAUUAAGAGCACUCGACUCUCCGACACAUCGACAACCUCUGGCCACGCGACCACCGGAAUGAUCUGAUCUGUGACACAGGAUUCUGUCUUAAUCACUUCAAGAAGCUGAAGGGAAACUUAGAAAUCUGGGUUUGGACCUGAUCAUGUGAAUCUUAACCCAUGUGACUGAAAAGCGAUGUCUGCCCCCCACAACCGAAUCAAUGCCAAUCUAAUGUGGCUGCGGUGAGUCCUGUGGACACGUGGAUCCCAGAGGACCGGUGGGCACCUGUGACUCACCUGUGAUGACCCACCGUUGGGCAGAAGCUGUGCUUUCUCCAGGUGUUGCCAUGGUUACAGUUUCUCUAGGAAUAUUUAACAUGCUGCAGGCUGCCCUGCCCACGGUUAAUGCAGUAAAUGAUUUGUCACUUCAACACGAUUUUCAGCCUCAUGGACAUUCCUAUUCAUUUUAACAAUCUUCGUCGUAUUUUUUUUUUUUUUCCUGCAUGUUGCUUCCUGCAGACCUUUUAUAUCAUGCAGUGCUGCUGUAAUAAAAUGUGAAAACACAUG